rnacentral:lncRNA from 1 species
GCUAUACACACCCUUCCUAUAUCCCCUGAAGGCCGUAAUUAAUCUUGUUCUUUCUUUGCAUACUCCAGAUCUCCUUAAUCUUCAGCAUGGCCUGGAAAGGUCAAAAGAAGUCAUGAAUUCAAGAUAAGAAAGGUUGCUGCCUCAGCAAAAAGAUGCAUCAUUGGAUGCUCUGUGGACUUUCUCUUCUAGGAUUAUGGUUGCUAGGAAUUCAUGAUUUAAGAAUUGUGAAGGUCAAGAAUGUGAAAUUUUAACUAAUACCUGAAACGAUAGCCUUGAAGAUAAGAGUCCCUCAUCUGUGCACUCCUUCUUUUGGAGCAAGCUAGUGCAAGGGCUACUGCUGAGAAGCAGGCAGCUCAGCUGCAGCAGUCUGGAACUCAUUAUGAGUUUCGACACUUGCUCUUCAGUGUCUACAAGGCUCUGGCGAUCUAAAUUUAGGUCUACUUAAUGGAAUGGCUUUGCUUUAAAAAAAAUCUUCUUCCCCAAAAUGCAUUUAAUCUUACACAUUUGGAACAAUGAAACUGUGUGUCCGUGAUUGUUUUUUUACCAAGG